UCCCUGGUGGUCCAGUGAUUAGGAUUCUGCACUUUCACCACUGAAGUCCAGGUUCAAUCCCUGUUCAGGGAA
rnacentral:tRNA from 1 species